UCCCUGGAAGACUAGUGGUUAGGCCACGAUGCUCUCACUGCUGCGGCCUGGGUUCGAUUCCCAGCCAGGGAA